rnacentral:rRNA from 1 species
UACGUAUGGUGCAAGCGUUAUCCGGAUUUACUGGGUGUAAAGGGCGCGUAGACGGAGUGGCAAGUCUGAAGUGAAAGCCCGGGGCUCAACCCCGGGACUGCUUUGGAAACUGCAGUUCUAGAGUGCCGGAGAGGUAAGCGGAAUUCCUAGUGUAGCGGUGAAAUGCGUAGAUAUUAGGAGGAACACCAGUGGCGAAGGCGGCUUACUGGACGGUGACUGACGUUGAGGCUCGAAAGCGUGGGGAGCAAACA